UUGGUUAGAGCGCGCGCUUGAUAAGCGUGAGGUCGGAAGUUCAAGUCUUCCCAGGCCCACCACUUUCAUCGAGUGAGCAUUCGUCUUCUGGUUACGGGGCCAUAGCUCAGCUGGGAGAGCGCGUGCUUUGCAAGCAUGAGGUCGUCGGUUCGAUCCCGUCUGGCUCCACCAGAUGGUUUGAUCACCAACGGCGUAACCGUCGUCCGCGAAACAUCACUUCGCACUCAUUGGUCCGGAUGGACGGUGACGUGCGUGUUUUCUGACAUCGUAAAGAGGAGAUCGAUCCGAGUUUGGAUCAAGCGAAGCAAUUCGCCUGAACCAUUCACUAUCUCCGGGAUCAUUUCGGCGCUCGCUUCAUUCGUGAGAUUGAAUGCGGGUUGUAAAUGAUCUCUGUUAGCGAAGCUUGACCGCCUCGCUAUCGGGCCGAUCUUACGAAGCAAGCUGGUCUUUCUAGUCAAUGUCCGGCUGCGCAAUCGCAUUCAUCGAGGAUGCGCGCCUGAGACUUCGGUCUUUGGGCAGUUGUGCAGACAACAUUCUGCCGAGUGUGUGGACAUUGAUAAUGAGAGCAAUCAAGUGCCUUAAGGGUGUUCGGUGGAUGCCUUGGCGCUGAGAGGCGAUGAAGGACGUGCUACGCUGCGAUAAGCCGUGGGGAGCUGCGAAGAAGCUUUGAUCCGCGGAUUUCCGAA
rnacentral:misc_RNA from 1 species